rnacentral:rRNA from 1 species
AGUGAACGCUGGCGGUAGGCCUAACACAUGCAAGUCGAACGGCAGCACAGGAGAGCUUGCUCUCUGGGUGGCGAGUGGCGGACGGGUGAGGAAUACAUCGGAAUCUACUCUGUCGUGGGGGAUAACGUAGGGAUACUUACGCUAAUACCGCAUACGACCUACGGGUGAAAGCAGGGGACCUUCGGGCCUUGCGCGAUUGAAUGAGCCGAUGUCGGAUUAGCUAGUUGGCGGGGUAAAGGCCCACCAAGGCGACGAUCCGUAGCUGGUCUGAGAGGAUGAUCAGCCACACUGGAACUGAGACACGGUCCAGACUCCUACGGGAGGCAGCAGUGGGGAAUUUUGGACAAUGGGCGCAAGCCUAAUCCAGCAAUGCCGCGUGAGUGAAGAAGGCCUUCGGGUUGUAAAGCUCUUUUGUCAGGGAAGAAACGGCUCGGGCUAAUAUCCUGGGCUAAUGACGGUACCUGAAGAAUAAGCACCGGCUAACUACGUGCCAGCAGCCGCGGUAA